AUGGUCCAUAUUUACAUGAAGUAUGUUCUGUUUCAAAAAAAGCAUUCGAAUUUAGAAAAUUGGGGUAUAUGGAGUGAUUUGUGUGACCUAACCUUUAGCACCAGGCCUGGUCAUCAGAAGUUGCCUAAGCAGUUUUGUACAGUGACAAUAUAUAGCCUGAAGUGCCAGUCAUUGUGUUAUGUUUUCGGCGGUGGAACCAAGGUCACUGUCCUAGGUCAGCCCAAGUCCACUCCCACACUCACAGUGUUUCCACCUUCCCCUGAGGAGCUCAAGGAAAACAAAGCCACACUCGUGUGCCUGAUUUCCAAUUUUUCCCCGAGUGGUGUGACAGUGGCCUGGAAGGCAAAUGGUACACCUAUCACCCAGGGUGUGGACACUUCAAAUCCCACCAAAGAGGGCAACAAGUUCAUGGCCAGCAGCUUCCUACAUUUGACAUCGGACCAGUGGAGAUCUCACAACAGUUUUACCUGUCAAGUUACACAUGAAGGGGACACUGUGGAGAAGAGUCUGUCUCCUGCAGAAUGUCUCUAAGAACCCAGGUUUCUUCUUAGCCUGGGAACCCUGCAGCUGUAGGACCCAGAGUGGGGUCUCUUCUUUAUAUUAGCUAUCUUAACCCUUAUU